GUAGGUGAACCUGCGGAAGGAUCAUUAAUUUUCGGUAGUUUACUACCGUUUGAAGGGGGUGGAAACCUUUUAGAGCCUCUAAAAGGGAGUACAUUCUGUUCUUAACCCUUGACUUUUUGCGCACUCAUGUUUCCUCGGCAGGCUUGCCUGCCGGUUGGACAAAUCAAUAACCUUUUUACUUUUCAAUCAGCGUCUGAUAAAUUUUAAUAAUUACAACUUUCAACAACGGAUCUCUUGGUUCUG
rnacentral:misc_RNA from 1 species